rnacentral:lncRNA from 10 species
AGAAGGUUUCGCGUGGCAGCACCUCUGCCAUGGCCUUUUCCCUGGCGCCCCAAAGGAACUUGACCUCGCCGGCCUUGGGGCCGCUGACUCAGGCCAGGGGCGGGGAAAAGAAAAAGGCCGCAGCGGGGAACUCUAGGCCAACAACGGUGAUGGGAGUGUCCCUUUCAGGCCAGCCAUCUCGUAGUUAGAAACGUCUCUCUAGGUAGCUGGAGACUCGCGGGGGAGGCUAAACCCGAGUGGAGAAGGAGACCUGGCAGGAUGCCUUGGACACCCGGUCGCUACGCAGCAGAAGCCAAGUGCAUAGGCGUCCUGCACAGAAGAGUUUCCUCCCAUGGCCUUAGCAGUGGGGUUACUGCAAAGCCAAAGGUGUAGUCUCCGUAAACCCAGCCUCACCCCUCUCUGGAUCUCCAUACACCCGGAUUAUCUGGCAGUCACUCCCUUGGUCAGAAGGCGUCACUGCCCUCUUAGAUCACCACCGUAGGACUAGCUGCCGACCCGGGUCACGCCACUCACUGCCUGACACCAGGCUUACACUAGGCUUUUUCCACUUGAACUCUGAAUCUAAAGGCCAUUUAGAAAGUGGUCAAGUGAAAAAUGCUAGGAGGGACAGUAGCCAAUAAUCAAUACUAGGUUACUGAAUGGGAAACACACUGCUGCUGAAUGCCUAAUACGGUAAGCACUCAGUAAAUGAUUGUUCAAGGAGGUGUAGUGUGACUCAAAACAAACGACACUAAGAAUCAUGAGUUGGCUGUACAGCUCUGCCACGUUGAGUUUUACAAGCCACUGAGUCGACCUCAUCUAAUCUCUAAAAGAAAGGAGUUGCGCAUGUCUUAAUGCCCACUGAGCUCUGCUUGCUCUCUUUUGAAGCCUUUUUUGUGGGAGGGUAGGUUACUAGCCCAAAGCCACACAGCUGCUUAGCGAAAGAGAAAGGGAGACUAGGACCCAGCCCUCCUACUGCCCUUCCCAGCACAUAAUUGUUUCUUUGCUCUUUAUUCUUAAUGUCCUUCUACAAAACAAAAACCAGUUUGUAAUGUCAAAAUUGAGUGGUUUUGAAAAUAAGCUUAAGUUGGCCGGGCGCGGUGGCUCACGCCUGUAAUCCCAGCAAUGUGGGAGGCCGAGGCGGGCGGAUCACGAGGUCAGGAGAUCGAGACCAUCCUGGCUAACACGGUAAAACCCCACCUCUA